AUGAGAUUUCCUAGUAUUGUGGCCCAUUUUGCUACAGAAAUUAGCCUUGGUCACUCUUUAAAUCUUACUGCUUCUCCUUUCUUGAUUAUAACAGAUGUACGCCUGGAGCCAAAUGGAAAGAUCUACGUGAAAGCAGUGCAGGAAGUGCUUUCUGGGAGAGAUCAUCUCCAGGCUGGAGGGCUUCCUGUAACAGCAGGUCCCAGCUCUGUCUCCAAGACCCUGGCUGGGUGUAAACGCAAGGGUUUGGACAAAGAGAAACAGACUGCAGCGCAGUUGCCUGCUACCAAAAGAGCCAGAGGCCAGAACAGAGACAGUGUGCCGGCCCCAGCAGCACACCCUGGGCCUGCCCCAGCACUGAGCUCCAAGCAAAGAGCAAGAAGACAACAACAAAAAGAAAGGAAAAGGGAAAUGAGAAAGGCUUCUUUGAGAGCUGCACGUGCAGAGUUCUUCGCAGAGAUGAACAUACUUGCGGAGAUGAUGCAGAAGGUGCACAUGAAGGACUGAGAGGAAAAGCGUCACAAGGCAGCGGCUGCAGUGCACAGCAUUUCAGUUGCAGCCCAACUCAGCAUUCCAUGUUUUAAUGCAUUCAAUCAAUAAACUAUCAUAAUUACAUAUUCA
rnacentral:lncRNA from 1 species